rnacentral:rRNA from 1 species
GACGAACGCUGGCGGCGUGCCUAAUACAUGCAAGUUGAGCGCUGAAGGUUGGUACUUGUACCGACUGGAUGAGCAGCGAACGGGUGAGUAACGCGUGGGGAAUCUGCCUUUGAGCGGGGGACAACAUUUGGAAACGAAUGCUAAUACCGCAUAAAAACUUUAAACACAAGUUUUAAGUUUGAAAGAUGCAAUUGCAUCACUCAAAGAUGAUCCCGCGUUGUAUUAGCUAGUUGGUGAGGUAAAGGCUCACCAAGGCGAUGUUACAUAGCCGACCUGAGAGGGUGAUCGGCCACAUUGGGACUGGGACACGGCCCAAACUCCUACGGGAGGCAGCAGUAGGGAAUCUUCGGCAAUGGACGAAAGUCUGACCGAGCAACGCCGCGGGAGUGAAGAAGGUUUUCGGAUCGUAAAACUCUGUUGGUAGAGAAGAACGUUGGUGAGAGUGGAAAGCUCAUCAAGUGACGGUAACUACACAGAAAGGGACGGCUAACUACGUG